AAUCAUCAACUCUCAUCUUUAUUGACGAGGGCUUGGACUUGGAGGCCUGUGCUGGUCCCGAAAUGGGAUCGGCUCCUCUUGAAUGCAUUAGCUUGAACCUAUGCUGUAUCGGCUGUUCGGUGUGAUAAUUGUCUACGCCGUGGCUGUGAGGCUUUAAAACUGUAGGAUCGGCUUCGAAUCGUCCCUAUGAACGGGACAACAUCUUUAUUGAC
rnacentral:misc_RNA from 2 species